rnacentral:rRNA from 1 species
UACGGGGGGAGCAAGCGUUGUUCGGAUUUACUGGGCGUAAAGGGCGCGUAGGCGGCCAGCACAAGUCAGUUGUGAAAUCUCCGAGCUUAACUCGGAAAGGUCAACUGAUACUGUGCGGCUAGAGUGCAGAAGGGGCAACUGGAAUUCUUGGUGUAGCGGUGAAAUGCGUAGAUAUCAAGAGGAACACCUGCGGCGAAGGCGGGUUGCUGGGCUGACACUGACGCUGAAGCGCGAAAGCCAGGGGAGCGAACGGGG